UUUCGUUGUGUUUGUUCUUUGUUUUGUUUUGAUUUUGUUUUCUUUCAAAAAAAAUUGCAUUUUUGUUGAAAGUUUUAGGCUAUAGAAUAAUUUGAGGUUGGUUUGUAGAGACUUGGGAAAAGUUCACAAGAUCGGUAUGGUUUUAACACCUUAAAUCUCCUGAAUAUGAAAAUCAUUUUGAAUACUUGUUAUGACAUAGCCUUGAGUUCUCAUUUUACUUAUAGCUCUUGAGUAGUUUAUUUCAGCAGUCAGCACCAUCUCACACGCAUUCUACACAGGGAAGCCGAUGAAUAUAAGUGAGUGCUCCGAAAAA
rnacentral:lncRNA from 1 species